GGGUCCGGACACACUGAGGAUUGACAGGCAAUAUUAAUACGUGUUUCGGCGCGUAUUAUGUUAAAUAUGCUAGUCCUUUCAUGAUUAUGUGAUAGGUGGUGCAUGGCCGUUCUUAGUUCGUGGAGUGAUCUGUCUGCUUAAUUGCGUUUCACUAAGAGUCUAUCAAUACGUGCGUUGCGGCACUUUGACCCCUCUCUGAGCGCGCGUCUUAGUUGCUUAGCUCGCACAAUUAGGUUCUGAAAGCAACGAACGUGACCGCAACCUCUUGUUGCCUUUAUACCAAACAUUUUUGCUGUUCUCAGCAUUAAUGCAAAAAGGCUUUUUAAACUAGAGGGACCGCUGUUACUUUCUUAAACCAGAGGAAGGUUGCGGCAAUAACAGGUCUGUGAUGCCCUUAGAUGUUCCGGGCUGCACACGUGCUACAAUGAUUGUUGCAGUGAGCAUCUCAUUUUUACACACCGCAUGCGCGAGUCCGUUUAUUCACUUCGGUGUUUUAAACGUGUAUUUCUGCGCGCGGUAAAGCCUGCUUCGAGAGUAAGUGGGU
rnacentral:rRNA from 1 species